rnacentral:rRNA from 2 species
UACGUAUGUCGCAAGCGUUAUCCGGAAUUAUUGGGCAUAAAGGGCAUCUAGGCGGCCAGACAAGUCUGGGGUGAAAACUUGCGGCUCAACCGCAAGCCUGCCCUGGAAACUGUUUGGCUAGAGUGCUGGAGAGGUGGACGGAACUGCACGAGUAGAGGUGAAAUUCGUAGAUAUGUGCAGGAAUGCCGAUGAUGAAGAUAGUUCACUGGACGGUAACUGACGCUGAAGUGCGAAAGCUGGGGGAGCGAACAGG